GGAAAUUUUAAGUAACAAACAUUUAUAAAGAAAAAACAACACUGAAGAAUUUCGGAGACGUGAACCAUUUGGAUCUCAAUCUUUAAAAACGAAAGAAUUACGAAAUUACACAUUCCCUCGAACUCAUUUGGGAACAAGUAAGGAAAGAGGCACGAUGAACAAGUAAUUGGUGGAUGGCAACUGACUUCCUGUGAUAAGAUUCUUUUCCUUCUAUCUUCCGUCCAAAUAAAUAGCGAAGUCACAAUCUAUAGAAAAUAUGUUCUCCUACAGAAUGUUAAUACAAUAAAAAAAAAUGCCCAUAUCUGUUUUUGGUAUACUGACAAAGGAUCAAUGGUCCAUAUAGCAAAGACGUGGCUGAUCCAUUAAACAAACCGUGGGUACAAUAGUUAAGCCAGUUCAUUUCCAGCAAUAUUGAUAUGAGCAGAACAUCUAGGAAACAGAGAAUGGCUAAAAAAGAUUACAUGUAGGUAAAAGGAAAUUACCAGAUUGGAGAUAGCGCGCAAUUCUACCCCCAUCAAUGCUUGAAAGAGUAAAAGAUAUUUCUCCGUUUAAUCUCCACAGAAGAACAAAAGCAAUCAGAUACCUGAUAACAGAGGGCAUCAAAUCAUCAGGAAAGAACAAGAACAUCAUUUUCCUAAUAUUGACUUAGGAACUCAUCUCAAAGCGCUUAAGCUAAAUAAAUAAGUUUACCACAUUGUUGACGUACUCAGAUAUCACAGUAGCAAUUGCAGCACCUCCAAUGCCAAAACCACAAAAGAAUAUCAACAAUGGAUCCAGUACUGCAUUGAGUAAAUUACCAGCAGCUGACACAAAAAAAUCAAUAUUAAUUAAAAAGGUAUUAAUAAAUUUGAACAAUUUUCAUAUUAACAUCAGAAGAAAAUCAAGAACGGUGCCCCAUUCACACAAUCACAAAAGAAUGAGAAGAAAUAACAAUAAUAAGCAGAAACAUUUAGCAGAAGUGGCGGCACUCAUGUUCCAAGAAAUUUACCAGUAGCAUAUAAUGGUGUUUUUGUAUCCUUAAAUCCACGAAAAGUGCCCUGUGCAGCAAGUGCAAUUACAAUAGGUGGAGCACCAAAUGCUCUCAGAGACAAAAAUUGCUCCGCAGGUGCACGCAUUGAUGAAUCCUACAAAUAUGUUAUAUAUUUGUGGUCAUAGUGAAAGAUGGCAUGUAAAACUAUAAUCAAACAAUCAAUCAAUAUGUGUGGUCAUAGAGAGAGUAUAUGUGAAACUAAAUUUCAUGCAGAAGACAUAAAAAGAAAGAUAUUUCAAGACACGAAUGAAAUAUAAGGAGGAUAAGAAGCCAAAAUAUUAUAAAAUGAAUUGGUUAAGGUUGACAUACAACAGGUAUACCCAUGAUAUCCAUUAGAGUCCCUGAACCAAGAGACAGCAUAACAGCUUCAGCAAUUCCAAGACCAGUAGCAAGUGCUAAAGAAGUGGAUACAGAGGAAAGAAGCUUCUUUUCUCGUGUCUCUUCAAUGGCAUCUAUAUGGUAAAAAAAAAAAAAAAAAAAUCGAUGAUCUCAUAGAAGACAAUGUGGAGUUUUUUUUAAAAAAAUUCACUGAAUCCAAAAGUGUAGUUACCAAUAUCUGUUUGAACAAUAUUUUUCUCAUCGGCAUUAAUCAAUGCCUGCUCUUCAGCAACAAAUGAAGUAGUGAUAUUGAGUAAAGGAACAUUGAAUAACUUCGACACCAAAUUGAAUACUGAAGCUGAUACCCCAAUCGCCGCCAAUUCAGUAGAUCCUACAAAGAGAAUGUAUAUGGCAUGCUGCUGCAGUCAUCAAUAUGACCUCCAAUAAGAUAAACGUAACUUCUAAAAUUAAUUUCAAAUUCUUCCUGUCAUCACAGUCCACACUCGUCUAAAGUUCAACUACGAACUUUAACCUCCAAUUCAGUACUCCAGAAUCAAGAUGAUUAACUAAUACGAGCAAUGGUUUCUUUUGCACAAUUCAGAGAAAGAUUACCGUAACUUAAAACAUGAAGCAAAAUUAUACCUAUAUGACCAACAAAAGCUGUGUCAAUCAGCGAUGCAAUUGGAUCAGCAGCCAAAGCCAGUGCAGCAGGCAAUGCAAUCGCCAAUAUGUCCAGCGCAAGUUCAUCAAACUUAAAAGCAGCAUCUCUAGGAAAUUUUUUUUUAAAAAAAAUCAGAUUCUAGAAUUGAAGAUAUCAACUAAUAAAGACGGUUGCUAUAUUCAAACUUCAACCAAUUCGGCCUGGUGCUCUAUCCAUCAGUGAUCAAAACUUACCUAAAUCGAUUUACAGACGCAGAGAGGAAGGACUUGGACGAAUUGUUGUCGGGUCUGUUUGGAGGGACCUGAUCGGAUGAGGGUGUAGACUUCGAUUCUUCCAGCGGACUCUUGAGGGAAGAAGUAGUAAGAUUCCUGUGGAAAGAAGGUUUUGGAAAAUAAGGAAGCCGGAGUCCAGAGUUGGCGUUUCUACGCAGCAUUUGGCACUUGAAUGAUAAAUUAGUGUGGGUAUUGAAGGAUGGAGCAUAGACGGAGAGACCGGUGGCCAUCUCCGGUCACUGAGAAAUGGAACAGUGGAAAGGGGGGGAAGAUGAAACCAUAAAUACUAGUGGCAAUUUGUAAGGACGAGCUUUCGAUGGACAGAAUUGCAGCUCGCCAUAGAAAUAUCUUGGUGGGUCUUUUUUGACUAAAAUAACGGGAUUCUCACAUUGUUGGCCUAUUUUGUGGAGCACAUAUGAAAUCUCGCCCAAGUUCCCUCAUUUUUGUUAAACGGAGCCCACCUUAACCGACCACCCCAACCUUCCCGCUUCAAAUAAUUCAUUCCUCCUUUAAUACUAUCUUAUAUGAUAAAACAAAGUUAGAUAUGAUAGAACAAAGUUAGGGUUUUAUUGUACGUGUAUGUUGUGGUGUGUUGUUAAUACAAUCAAACUCUUAUAUUAGUUAGAUAAGCAGAUGCUUAUAAGUAUAUAAAAAGAAAAUAACGUAUAAACAUUGACAUUAAUUUUAUGUUGAAGUGGUAGCAUAAAGAAGUGGAAAUGAGCGUGGUUGGGCUUCAAGACAAAUGAUGAAAUAUUUUUAAAAGUACAGAAUAUUGAUUUGUCUCAUAAGUUCAUGAAUUUAAAGCAUGUUGUAACAUGAAAAAUAUUUAUGAAGUAGAGUGCAGUAAUUGCAAUUACAUCUUCAAUUUACAGUAUAAUUAUAGAAAUGAGAAUUUCAAAUUAUAUAAAAAUGACAAAUUUAAACUCUCAAACUUAUACACCAUACAUCAAUAUCAUCUUUCAGACCACUUGUACACUAUACUAAUGUCGUGUUAUAUUGUCAAUUCAUACAAAAACUUAAGCUAAUCGAAAGAAAGAAAUUUAAUAUUAUUAUCUAAUGUUACUCUUUAAAAUUGAUGGUUUAAACUUUAAUUUUCUUAAAGUUUGUUGCCUAAAUUUUAACAACUAUGUAAGUCAGAAGGUUUAAUUUUAUUAUCAUUCAAUUUCUCCUGUAUAAUGCAAAUUAGAACAUAUAUAUUAAUAAAACUCAAGCCCCAUGAAAUUAUACCAAAAAAAAAAUUUUAAGUCAUGAAUUUACCGAAAAUUAAGGUUUUUCAUGGGCACAAAAGAUAUAUUUUUGUAUUAAAUUUGAUAGAUACGAUCACACCAAACAACUCUUCAAAUAUUAGGCCUUAAACAAUAUUACUUACACUAUAAUAAUAAUCCUUACAAAUAAAUUAUGUAUUAUUAUAUUAGUCAACUUGAGCUACUACAAUAUAAACAUUGACAUUAUAUAAUUAUAUACACACAUUCCAAAAUAACAUUAUCAGUAUUUCAUAAAUUAAAAGAGAUAUUUUAUAAAUUUAUUUGAUAAAAUAUAAUACUAAAAAAUGAUGUAUUAAACAUGGAUAUUAUCUGGGUGCAUCCUAGGUAGCAUACAUUCUUGUACAUUUCUUUUUACUAUUCAUGUUAAAAGAAAAUAAAAAACUUUUUUUAAAAAAUUACUACAUAACAAGUUAUGAUUAAACAAUUUGACGAGAUAUAAUUAAAAUAUUUUUUACUUAAUAUUGCUUAUGAUAGAUGUAUCUAAAUUUAAAAUAUGAAGAUCUUAGGUGCAUGAAAAACCAACUCGUGAGAGAUAUCUAUGUUACAUACUUAAGUUUAAGAUGAUAGGAAAAGCCCCAUAUAUGAAUGCUAUUCAGUAUAAACAUUGUCAACAAUAUAGUAACAUGCAUGACAUUCUAUUAGAUAAAUUUGGACUAACCUAGUAGGCCAAUAAAUCAUUGUAAUGGUUGAUAAAGAAGUUAAUUGUCAUUUUAAUUUAUUUAGCAUUGAAAUGGAUCAAGAAGUAUAACUAAAUAACAAAACUCAAUCUGUACUUUUUACCUUUUUUUUUUUUUUUAAUUCAACAAAAAUAGGAUAUAAGUACUUAUACCAUUACAGAAUCAAUCUUUAAUGUGGUAAUUUAUGUGUCUCUUCUUGAUCAUUUAACUAUACUUAAAUCGACAAAAUACUAUCAUGACGUUUGUCAAUAUCCUACGGUAUAACAUUAAAAAUAUAAACAAUUCCAGCAAAUAACAGAGUCUAAAGUGAUUGCUAUUGGUAAGAUUUUAGCUGACUAUAAUAUAUUAUUUUUCCUUUCUAUUACAAUUGGAAAAUGAAAAAACAAAGACUAAAAAUUGUCGGUCGAAUCAUUGUGUAAAAUUCAACAAACAGUUUUGUUUGAUGAAUAAUAUUAUUCUUUAAUUGCUCAAAUUUAGGAUGCAAGGAUUUGUCUAGCACAAAAAUCCAACUCGUAAGCUAUCAUAUAUAUAUUAAAAGCUUGAACUUACAAGGUUAGAAGAAAUCAAUUGAUUAUGAGACAAAUAUUCUUAACCAAAAAAGAUAAGUAACAAAGCUCUAAUAGUUGACAACACAACACAUAAUUCAAUUUACAAUGACAUACUUUUACUUUUUUAGUUCAACAAAUAUAAUAUGAUUAGUGAUUAAACAUCAAUAUGUUUGAUAUGAUAAUUGGUGUUUCUUCUCAACUUACCUAUACUCAAUUUGAAAAACUACCAUUUGUAUCAGAGCUAUUUUGUCUUCAUAAAUAAUAAACCAGGUACAUCAAUGUAAAGAAACAAAUUGUCAAUUUGCUAAGAUAUGGCAAGAAAAAAAGUUAUUGAGACUUUAUUUUGUAAUAAAACAACAAAGGGCACUUUUAACAACAAUAUGAAGAUGGAGUUGCAUGUUCUUUAACAAAAAAGUGGAAUAUGAAAUUUAUCAUCCCAAUGAUUUCAUAAGUUGCAUUUCUACUCUCUCAUGUGAUCUUUACCCUGCUAGUUCAAUUUUGAUAUAAAAAUCAACUGCCCAUAAAAAAAGUGUAGGAAAAUGGCAAUGUCUACAUAUUCACAACCAUAAAAUAAGAAAGGGAAAAAAGUUACAUAAAUAUAGUCAAGAGUACUCUCUACUUCUAUUUGCCCUACAAAAGUACUUUAAUAUACCAUAGUUUGCUAUCUUCACCCCAGAAAAAGUAUAUAGUGGUGUUUCCAAACCAUUAUCGUUAACUUAUUUAAGAAAUUAUCUAUAAAAAAAAAAAAGAAAAGAUUAUUGUAUGGAUAAAUUAUUAUAUUAUCAAUUCAAAUCUCCAACCUUAUGUGCCAGAAACAAUAAUUUAAAAAAUAAAAAACAAAAAACAAAAACCCAACUCAACAUCAAGCUGAAGUUCAUGUCAUCCAAAAUGUAAAAUGGAGUUUUCAACACAAAAUAUUAUAAUAUGUCACACUCAACUGUUCAAAAGUUUAAGUUGAUAGGUUACUAACACAAAUUUAACAACAAAAAUUUUAUAGAAAUAAUGAAAAUAAAAGCAUACACUUAAAAGUAGACUAUACACAUUUGAAACACAUAAAAGCCUCAAGAUUAUAAUUUAUCAUCUAUUCUUUCGAAUCCUCCACCCUUAUUAAACUAAAAAAGAAUAGAUAGAAAUUUCAAUCCAAUGCUUUAUGCGAUAUCCCAUAACAAAAACCAAGCAAGUUAGGAAAGAUGGAAAAACCUUACCUUCACAAAUAACACAAAUUAAAAGAGUCAGAGAGCUGCGAAAAAAUGAACGAAAGAAUUAAAAAAAAAAAAAAUCACAAAAAGCUCUAAAAAAAAUGGAAUAUUGAUAGAAGUAAUGAUAUGAGAGAGCAAAUAUCAAAUCCUGCAGACGUUAUAUCUAUGGAAAUGCAUACAUUCUUCAACUCCAUGGCCAGUAACGACUGAAAAAUGAGAGCAAGAAGAAGCCGGGAAACUCAGGAUGGAUAGCGCCGAGAAAUAAUAAGAUGAUGAUGUCGAGGGAGGUGAAUCGAAACGAUGACGGCGCUAUCCCUCCUGAGCUUAACGGACUCUUCCGUGCUUUGAGUUGAAGAAAUAGAGGAUUUGGGGUUGGUUUUUAUUUUGUUUUGAUAAAUAGAGAGAAUUGAAGGUGUAGUAGGAAGAAAGGCCACCAAACAAGAGUAAAUGCUAUGUGUGGGGAAGAACGUAGCUAAUUGGCAUCGUAUUUAUAGCCUCAACGUGCCAUUGUAUUUCUAUUUCUCCUUUUUCUUUUAUUCAUUUAUUUUUUCGACAUAUAUAGAUAUAUAAAUAAAGAAUAUUUUCUUCACUUUUGCAUUUUCCUUAUAUUUUAAUAUCAAACGCAAUUACAAAUGUGACCAAAUAUCACAAAACUCCCAACUUAUUCAUAUUGUUAGACUUGUAGGACUUAAAAGAUAACAAGAUAAAAAUUCAUUUUAUUUUGACUUGUUUUAUUUUUAAAAUUUGGGUGUUUCAAAAAAUGCACGUAUUAAAGAUGUUAAAAGCAACAACAAAUAAAAUAAGAUUUGAAAAUAUUUAUAGAUAUUGGUGGAUGAGUGUAUUUAGUUAAAAGUUGAAUGAAAGGUUAAAAAUAAUAAUAUUAUACAAUAUAAUUGAUUAAUUUAAAUAAAAAUAUAAUUGUCCUGACUUUCCCUUCUCUAAUUUACUAACCCUGGAUUGUUGUAAAGAAGAUGUGGUAUAAUAAAUGAAUGGGUUGAAGGGACAAUAUAAUAUUAUUAGUUUUGAAAAAGUAGAGUAAUUUAAAAGUAAAUAACGAAAUUGGGAUAUAUAAAAAAUAAUAUAAGGUAAGAAAUAGAAAGAAUUAAAAAGGAGUAAAUAUGGAUGUAAGUUGGGAAGAUUAUGAUGGAAAAAAAAGGGAGGAAGGGGUUACACUGAAAUCGGAGGGGUGGCGUUGGAAAUUGCAAAAGUUCCUGACUUUCAUUUUCGUCUUCCCGAGUAUCAAAGUGGUCUUCGCCGUGGAGGAAGGAUCGAAGGCCCGCCUUCCCAUGUUUCCCAAAAUACCCCUCAGUUGGUAAUAUGUGAGCAACCCAAGGGGUACAAUUGUCUUUUGAUUAUGAAAUUAAAAAUGGUAGAAAAGAGGAAUGAGGUACAUGCACGGCUGGUUGGGACGCGCAUUCCUCAUUUCCUCUGCUCAUUCCAUUCACUCUUCAGAAUUUCUCAAGAAUAAUUUUUGAAACGUCGCCUUCUCUCACCAUUCAAUAUUUCUUUAAAUGAUCUCUCUUUUUCUUUUUUCUUCUUCUUCUUCUUUUAUUAUAUUAUUUACAAUUACAGAUAGAGUUUCUAAAGACUGAGGAAAACAUCAUUUCCUAUUCACUCUAACAACAAUACACUUUCUUACAUCAGAUUCAAAUCUAUAUCCAUAUUGAUAUUCUAACAUUAAAAUAAGCUUUAUGGAUUCCGCCUAAUUAUUUUAGGCCGUUUAGAAAGAUAUCCACUAUAAUAAUUUUCAAAGGUUUUUCUUUUUUCUUUUUUUGAGAUUUUUUUAAAGAAAUUAGUGGUUAAAGAUAUUUAUUUCUUCGGUUAUAAUUUAUAAAAAUUAUUGACUAAUACCACUUUCAAGUAAAAUAAGUAAAAAAAAAAAAAAAAAAGACGAAUAAAUGAAUCUAAUUUAGUUAUUUUUAUAUUUAAAUUGUAUUUUUCUUAAACAAUGUGUCCAAUUUUAAAUAUAUAGUAUUACGUCAGUCAACAUCCACACUUUUCACUAAAGUUUUCUAAGAAACUAUGAGAGUAACCAAUUGCCAUAACUAAGUUAAAAGCCUACAAUAGUAAGGUUCUUCUUUCAUGCAAUAAGAUUUUAUAAAUCUUUUAGAUGAUAAUUCAUAGACUUAUGCUUAUUGAGUUGAUUUUCCAAUAUAUCAACUAAAAACAAUCCUUUUUUUUCUCUCCCUCAUUUGACACUUUUGUCUUUUCCUAUCAAAUAGCGGAGUCAAUUUUCUAACUUGACAAUACAUUGUUUAAUUUAUUGAGAUACACUUAGAUUAACUUUUUUCUUUCACUUCUUAAAAUAAAACAAAUAUUUGAAUAAGAAAUUUUAAACUUUCAAUCACAAGAAAGAAGACCAUGUCAAUUAUCACUAAAUUAUGCCCAUCUUACGUUUUUUUUUAAUUUCAUUUGACAUGUUGCAAAAGUGAUCAUUUUAUGAUUUUACUAUUAUUACUAUUAUUUUACUUGCACAAAUCUAGUUAAACGGAUUAAAACUAAGUUUUAAAAAUAUUAAUGUCAACAAAAUAGUACCGAUAUCUCAAUUAUAAAAAAAAAAAUGUUUAUGAAAAUAUCAGAAAAACGUCAACAUCCAUAGAUAUUUUUGAAAAAGUAACCAAAGCAUAAAAAAAAACCAUUUACUUUUUUAAUAGUUGAAAUUUUAUUGUUUAUAUUUUAUUCACGUUAAUGAGGUUAAUGUUGAAAGAGUUAUGAAUUUUUGUAGGAUAAUUUGUAUUUAUAAAAAAAAUGGCAUAAGAAAAUAGGAAAAGAUUUAGUAAUCUUUAAAUUAACAUAGGAAAAUUAUAUAUAUAUGGAUUUACAGCACAUGGCUGAUAUGAACGAAAAUAGGGAAGAACAAAAUUGUAAUAAGAUAACUAAUAUUUGGUACUAAAUAUUUAGUGGUUGAAAUUAUUAGGUCAAAACUAUGAAGGUGAAUCCAAAAAAAAAGUGAUUAUUAAUAUAGUUACAUGUAAAAGGAAAAUCAUAUUUGAAGAAAAGAUUAAGCUAACAGUAUAGAAAUAUUUAUUAAAAAGGAAAGGGAAAAAAGAAUCCGUGGGGUAGGAUUGAUGACAAUGUCAGAAUUAGGGUCCACCUCAGGACAGGUACUCCUGGAAUUAACCGUACCCGAUCCAAUAUCCUUUUUCUUUUAUUUUAUUUUAUUUUUUAAAUAAAAACAAAAAGAAAAUGUAUUUUGAAUUUUAGACAAAAAUAUGAAAUUCCCAUAAAAAGGGCACCCGGUCUGCAUUAUCCAAAAAAGGGUUUAUUUCCAUCCAAAUCGAACCGGACAAACCGGGUGGACUUGACUUUUCUUUUUUCGUUUUGUUUUGUUUUGUUUUUUUUUAAUGGUCAAACAAUUUAGAGGAAAGGAGGGGGGAUCAGGAUCUGGUGGUUUUUGUACGUAUCACGUUAAGCGUAUGAGUAUAAUCAUGACCAUUGAUUUUUAUGGGAGUGGGGCCCCAGAAGGGGGGGGGGGUUUGUCGGUAUAUGAGUAAUGGGCCUGGGCCUGGGGGUGUUAAUUCUGGGAAAUGAUUAUGCGCGGGUACGACUAUGGUGCAGCUAGCUACUGCCACUCUGUCUUAUGGACCCCACUCUCACAACCUCCCCCCAUUAUUUGCUUAAUUACCUUCUGCCAACUCCAUGGGUCCCACCCCCCUUUUUUUUUUACUUCUAUCAAAUUUUUGUUAAUCACACAUCCUAUUAAAUUCUCUCUUUCUCUAUAUGUACACAUUUAAUUAAUCCAUAUUUACGUUUUUCUUUUUAAAUUUAUAUAAACCACGGUUUUUUUGGUUUUCUGUCGUGGCUGUAUUUUUAUAUGGAGCGUUUGUAUUCUUUCCUCCUCUCUUUCUUAUUCAUGAGGUGAAACCCUUAGAUUUCGUGAUAUUUCUUCGUUUUUCUUUUUAUAUUUUCUCUCUAAAAAAGCAAUGAUCUGAGAUCCACAUGAUAAAGCAUUGAAACAUGGAAAACUCUUCAUAUCCUGUUCAACUAAAAAAAUAAUAGUCUUUACUGGAACUGCACACUGUUAGCAAGUAAUAAUAAUAGGAAAAGUAUUUCAUUUUCAACGUUUCAACCUAAACAAACAAAUGUAAUCAAAGUUUUAACAAAUCAAAUAUCACCCUUUAUUUCAAUAUUCAUCCGAGAUUAUGUCAACUUAUCUCUACAAUUGUUUAUGUUUUUCACUGGAAGUUUGUGGUUGCUAUUCUUGCUAUAGAACUAAUAAAGGUUUCUAUUUUUUUUAGUGUAAACUUUAACGUCGAUCAUAUACUUAGAGAAAUCUAAGUUCUAAUGUUUAGAUGGAUUCUUGAUUUUAGUGGAAACACAAACUAACUUACCUUGAUGUCAUGUGUUUUGAAUAAGAAGGAAUAAAGUAUUACGAGAGGGAGUUUUCAAGUUUAGGAGAAGCUAAACUAUUAUUGUGAGUAAGUUGUUAUGAGAGGCAUUGUAGUUACUACCUACUUGUUAAGUACUUUAUCGUAAUGGCUUAACUAUUAGUAAUAAAAUUAUUUUGAUCGGGCACGUCGUAUUAAUUUGAAGCUUGUAAUCAUAUAAGAGUCACACAAAAAUUCAUACUAGGCUAUUAAAUAAAGCAAAUUAAAAAAUAUUAAAUUAAGUCAAAAUCCAAAAAUCAACCAAGUACAGUCGAGCUCAUGCAUUGCAUUCCAAAACUCUAUAAAUAAUGGGGUCACUCUUCAUGAGAAUCAUUAAGCAUUUAAACUUCCAUUGAGACACUGUCAUUUCAUUCAUAGGCAUUAGAUUCUACAAAAACUAAAAGCUAGACAGAAUCCAUAAAAGCUAAAUUUAUCUCCCUUAAUUUAAGAACAAACUUGUAAGUUCUCAUAUCAAAGAAGGCAGUUGAAGAUUAUCCAUUAGAAAAAGGUAAAACCAAUCCAAUCAAUAAAAUCAACUUAAUUUUUCAUGGAUUAUAUUUGGUUGCUGAACUUUUGUGUGACAUAAAUAAAACAUACCAUAAACUCUAAUGUUAAGAAUGACGAAUGGUGAUUGUUAGUAUUUGUAGAAGUGUUGAACUAUCUAUCAAAUUUCGAUAACAAAACAAAUCAACCCCUAUAUUAAUCUCUCCAAAAUCCAAUAAAUUUAGAAACAAACUCUAAAUAUCACAAUCACAUCCCUCUGUUACAUAACUUAUAAUCAAUUUGAUGAACUUAUUAUUCACGUAAUUUCAUCCAAUUUUUCAAGCAUAUUUAAAGUAUUUUAUAAGUUUCAUUUCUUUCAUUACAUUUUUAGGACAAGGACAAGAACAACAACAACAAGACAGCUAAAUAAUAAAAUUAAAAGAGAAAAAAACUCAAACGUAGACACCAAUUCAUCCAACGUAUUAGAAGCUAAAAAAUGAGUUAAAACAUUAUUCCAGUAAAAGAGAGGUGGUUCAUGUAGAUGGUAAAUAUAAAUUUAGGAUACAAGUCUAGGGAUGAUGUUAAUAACUUUUUAGCCUAUUCGAAAAGAGUUUUUAAAAGCUGUCAUUGUAUUUAAAAGUAAUUAUGAAAAUGCUCAGAAAUACUUAUGCUUCUUCAAGCUCACAAUUAAUGAUUCUUCCAUAAAUGGGGUGUAGAUUAAAUGCUCAACACAAAACAUUGUUUUCAGAAUGAAAUCUUAUGUUCACCCUAAAUUUGAUGUCAUUCAUUGGCUAAUUCAAUUAUUAGAUAUAAACAGAAUUUUAAAAUAGCUAUUAGAAAAGGGAUACUAAGCUCAAACAACAAUCAAAUUAUACAAAAAUCAUACCUUUUUUUUUUUAUGGAUAUUCAUUUGGUUUUCUGAAAUUUUUACAUUUUUUUUAAAUUUUGCUUGAUUUUUAAAAUUAUUGAUUAAAAAUAAAUAAAAGAUAAAAAUGGUUUUUACACAAGCACAAUUUUAAAAAAUUGAACCGAUAUCAACUAUAAAAUUGGCAACGAUGUAUAUUUGAAAAACUUAAAACAAAUAUGUGUGACAAAUAAUUUUAUGUUAUAAGCAAGGAUUUAGUCAUUUUAUUGAAGAUGAAAUCACAUUUUCUUUUUAUUUUUGUUGGUAAUUGAAGAUGAGUGCACAUAAAUGGGUGGAACUUACUAGUAUGGUCCAACCAUAUAUUUAAGUGUGUAGAAGGGAACAAUGUACCAUGGAGUGAGUGCUUUGAAUUAAUAAAAAAGGCCAUUAAAGUAAUUUGCAUUAGAUGUUCUUCCACUGCAUAUGGGUCUGCACAAAUAUUUAAGAUUUUUCCAAUAAAAGAUAGGUGUGCAUUUAUUUUCACCCAAGCUAUAAACUUACAUUUAUUUAUUACUUCUAUUCUUUAAUUAAAUCAUCUAAUUUUACUAAAUUAAAACUCCAAUAUAGAUCUAAUAUUUCUUAAUAGGAAUAUUAGAGGGUAUUUCCCAUUAUAACCCUACUCAAAAUAGUAGAUUCCAUUUCUUUUGAGAAAAAACAACACCAUUUUGUUUUACUUCUACAAACCUAAGGCUAGUUAUUCAACUUGUAAUUUCAAUAGACGUGUUUAAUUAGUGUUUUGAUUGGUGAUGAUGACAGAGGGCAGACUCCACAAAAUAAUAACCUUUAAAAGUGGUGGAGAAAUCUAUGCUUGUGUUUGUGGUAUGAAUGUUCAUUGAAUUCGUACUUGUACCUCCAAACAUUUGGUGUCGAUCUCUAUCCAGAUUCAUUGAAGAAAAAAAGAAAGAAUGUGGGAGUAACCUCUAUCUAUUAAGAUGAUGUAUUUGACCCUCUUCAACGUGAUAGUACAUUUGGAUAUUGUUGAUUUUUUGAGUCUCUUUAAGAGAAAAUUAAUAUUAACGAAGGAGUAACAAAUAUUUCCUUUAAUUAUGAUAGUAUUCAAAACUAAUAUUUGCGUAUCUUUUAAUGAAGAGUUACAGACAUUUUUCAUAUUUUGGCUAACUCAAGGAUAAUUAAAUAAUGAAGACUUAUGUUUUAGCCGAUAGUGCAACCUUAACUAUGCACACAAUAUUUAAAAGCAAAAAAUAUUUUUCUACAUUGACAAUGCUUGAAGCAAAUGUCAAUUGAAUAUCAAGUUCUACAAACUUUAUUUGAAGGUUUUGGUAAAGCAAACCUAAUUUUUCCUAAAGGAACAAAAUUCACAAUUAAUAAUGUGUUUUCUCUAGUAACUAAAAAGGAAACUUAUUGAGUUUCAAAGAUAUACGUCAAAAUAGUUGUCAUGUUAAAACUAAUAAUAAAUAUAAUAUAGAAUAUCUUUAUAUUAUAUUUUAUUGUUUCACAUGAAAAGCAUAUAUUGGAAAUGUCGCGACGUGAUCGCUACGCGGAGCGGCCGACCUCUCCGUUUAUUUAAUUUUAAUAAAUAGUUUUGGAGUCGCCACCAACCAUAUUAGUACAUUUGGAUAUUGUUGAUUUUUUGAGUCUCUUUAAGAGAAAAUUAAUAUUAACGAAGGAGUAACAAAUAUUUCCUUUAAUUAUGAUAGUAUUCAAAACUAAUAUUUGCGUAUCUUUUAAUGAAGAGUUACAGACAUUUUUCAUAUUUAGAGAUUUAAGUUCGGGAGUCAGUUGUGUGUAGGGAAGGUGUUAGCACCCUACAACACCCCAAAAAAAUGGUUACCCAAUUUUAUCUUUUAAAUUAAAUUAUAGAGGUUCACAAAACAAAGUUUUUAUUUAGGUUUUGUUUAAAUGUCUCAUGCUUAUCAAUUCAUAUCGAAGAAAGUAAAACCUAAGCAUGAAUUGAUGAUUAUGGGUGGCAUAGGAGCCAUUAGAAAAAUUAAGUUUAUUUUUGUUUUAAAAGAUUUUUAUUCACCUUAAGAAUAUUAAGAUACCAAAACUUGAUAUUUUAAUCUCUAUCAUAGAUGUUUAAUGAAAAAUUUCAUAUAUCUAGAAUUAAUAAAUUCAUGAGAAAAUACUACUCAGUCUCAUUUAAAAUAUGAAAUGUGUUAAUUUUAAAAAAAAUAAUCUAUUAAUUAAAUUUCAAACGGAAAAAUUUCAUGUAUUUAUGGAUUUUAAAUUAUAAAAUCCAUAAAAAACAAUACUUUUUCUCCAAUUUACAUUAUUAUAAAAAAAAAUAAUAACAAUGACAAAACAUUAUGAAAUUUACAAUUACAGAUAGAGUUUCUAAAGACUGAGGAAAACAUCAUUUCCUAUUCACUCUAACAACAAUACACUUUCUUACAUCAGAUUCAAAUCUAUAUCCAUAUUGAUAUUCUAACAUUAAAAUAAGCUUUAUGGAUUCCGCCUAAUUAUUUUAGGCCGUUUAGAAAGAUAUCCACUAUAAUAAUUUUCAAAGGUUUUUCUUUUUUCUUUUUUUGAGAUUUUUUUAAAGAAAUUAGUGGUUAAAGAUAUUUAUUUCUUCGGUUAUAAUUUAUAAAAAUUAUUGACUAAUACCACUUUCAAGUAAAAUAAGUAAAAAAAAAAAAAAAAAAAAAAGACGAAUAAAUGAAUCUAAUUUAGUUAUUUUUAUAUUUAAAUUGUAUUUUUUCUUAAACAAUGUGUCCAAUUUUAAAUAUAUAGUAUUACGUCAGUCAACAUCCACACUUUUCACUAAAGUUUUCUAAGAAACUAUGAGAGUAACCAAUUGCCAUAACUAAGUUAAAAGCCUACAAUAGUAAGGUUCUUCUUUCAUGCAAUAAGAUUUUAUAAAUCUUUUAGAUGAUAAUUCAUAGACUUAUGCUUAUUGAGUUGAUUUUCCAAUAUAUCAACUAAAAACAAUCCUUUUUUUUCUCUCCCUCAUUUGACACUUUUGUCUUUUCCUAUCAAAUAGCGGAGUCAAUUUUCUAACUUGACAAUACAUUGUUUAAUUUAUUGAGAUACACUUAGAUUAACUUUUUUCUUUCACUUCUUAAAAUAAAACAAAUAUUUGAAUAAGAAAUUUUAAACUUUCAAUCACAAGAAAGAAGACCAUGUCAAUUAUCACUAAAUUAUGCCCAUCUUACGUUUUUUUUUAAUUUCAUUUGACAUGUUGCAAAAGUGAUCAUUUUAUGAUUUUACUAUUAUUACUAUUAUUUUACUUGCACAAAUCUAGUUAAACGGAUUAAAACUAAGUUUUAAAAAUAUUAAUGUCAACAAAAUAGUACCGAUAUCUCAAUUAUAAAAAAAAAAAUGUUUAUGAAAAUAUCAGAAAAACGUCAACAUCCAUAGAUAUUUUUGAAAAAGUAACCAAAGCAUAAAAAAAAACCAUUUACUUUUUUAAUAGUUGAAAUUUUAUUGUUUAUAUUUUAUUCACGUUAAUGAGGUUAAUGUUGAAAGAGUUAUGAAUUUUUGUAGGAUAAUUUGUAUUUAUAAAAAAAAUGGCAUAAGAAAAUAGGAAAAGAUUUAGUAAUCUUUAAAUUAACAUAGGAAAAUUAUAUAUAUAUGGAUUUACAGCACAUGGCUGAUAUGAACGAAAAUAGGGAAGAACAAAAUUGUAAUAAGAUAACUAAUAUUUGGUACUAAAUAUUUAGUGGUUGAAAUUAUUAGGUCAAAACUAUGAAGGUGAAUCCAAAAAAAAAAGUGAUUAUUAAUAUAGUUACAUGUAAAAGGAAAAUCAUAUUUGAAGAAAAGAUUAAGCUAACAGUAUAGAAAUAUUUAUUAAAAAGGAAAGGGAAAAAAGAAUCCGUGGGGUAGGAUUGAUGACAAUGUCAGAAUUAGGGUCCACCUCAAGGACAGGUACUCCUGGAAUUAACCGUACCCGAUCCAAUAUCCUUUUUCUUUUAUUUUAUUUUAUUUUUUAAAUAAAAACAAAAAGAAAAUGUAUUUUGAAUUUUAGACAAAAAUAUGAAAUUCCCAUAAAAAGGGCACCCGGUCUGCAUUAUCCAAAAAAGGGUUUAUUUCCAUCCAAAUCGAACCGGACAAACCGGGUGGACUUGACUUUUCUUUUUUCGUUUUGUGUUUGUUUUGUUUUUUUUUAAUGGUCAAACAAUUUAGAGGAAAGGAGGGGGGAUCAGGAUCUGGUGGUUUUUGUACGUAUCACGUUAAGCGUAUGAGUAUAAUCAUGACCAUUGAUUUUUAUGGGAGUGGGGCCCCAGAAGGGGGGGGGGGGUUUGUCGGUAUAUGAGUAAUGGGCCUGGGCCUUGGGGGUGUUAAUUCUGGGAAAUGAUUAUGCGCGGGUACGACUAUGGUGCAGCUAGCUACUGCCACUCUGUCUUAUGGACCCCACUCUCACAACCUCCCCCCAUUAUUUGCUUAAUUACCUUCUGCCAACUCCAUGGGUCCCACCCCCCCUUUUUUUUUUUACUUCUAUCAAAUUUUUGUUAAUCACACAUCCUAUUAAAUUCUCUCUUUCUCUAUAUGUACACAUUUAAUUAAUCCAUAUUUACGUUUUUCUUUUUAAAUUUAUAUAAACCACGGUUUUUUUGGUUUUCUGUCGUGGCUGUAUUUUUAUAUGGAGCGUUUGUAUUCUUUCCUCCUCUCUUUCUUAUUCAUGAGGUGAAACCCUUAGAUUUCGUGAUAUUUCUUCGUUUUUCUUUUUAUAUUUUCUCUCUAAAAAAGCAAUGAUCUGAGAUCCACAUGAUAAAGCAUUGAAACAUGGAAAACUCUUCAUAUCCUGUUCAACUAAAAAAAUAAUAGUCUUUACUGGAACUGCACACUGUUAGCAAGUAAUAAUAAUAGGAAAAGUAUUUCAUUUUCAACGUUUCAACCUAAACAAACAAAUGUAAUCAAAGUUUUAACAAAUCAAAUAUCACCCUUUAUUUCAAUAUUCAUCCGAGAUUAUGUCAACUUAUCUCUACAAUUGUUUAUGUUUUUCACUGGAAGUUUGUGGUUGCUAUUCUUGCUAUAGAACUAAUAAAGGUUUCUAUUUUUUUUAGUGUAAACUUUAACGUCGAUCAUAUACUUAGAGAAAUCUAAGUUCUAAUGUUUAGAUGGAUUCUUGAUUUUAGUGGAAACACAAACUAACUUACCUUGAUGUCAUGUGUUUUGAAUAAGAAGGAAUAAAGUAUUACGAGAGGGAGUUUUCAAGUUUAGGAGAAGCUAAACUAUUAUUGUGAGUAAGUUGUUAUGAGAGGCAUUGUAGUUACUACCUACUUGUUAAGUACUUUAUCGUAAUGGCUUAACUAUUAGUAAUAAAAUUAUUUUGAUCGGGCACGUCGUAUUAAUUUGAAGCUUGUAAUCAUAUAAGAGUCACACAAAAAUUCAUACUAGGCUAUUAAAUAAAGCAAAUUAAAAAAUAUUAAAUUAAGUCAAAAUCCAAAAAUCAACCAAGUACAGUCGAGCUCAUGCAUUGCAUUCCAAAACUCUAUAAAUAAUGGGGUCACUCUUCAUGAGAAUCAUUAAGCAUUUAAACUUCCAUUGAGACACUGUCAUUUCAUUCAUAGGCAUUAGAUUCUACAAAAACUAAAAGCUAGACAGAAUCCAUAAAAGCUAAAUUUAUCUCCCUUAAUUUAAGAACAAACUUGUAAGUUCUCAUAUCAAAGAAGGCAGUUGAAGAUUAUCCAUUAGAAAAAGGUAAAACCAAUCCAAUCAAUAAAAUCAACUUAAUUUUUCAUGGAUUAUAUUUGGUUGCUGAACUUUUGUGUGACAUAAAUAAAACAUACCAUAAACUCUAAUGUUAAGAAUGACGAAUGGUGAUUGUUAGUAUUUGUAGAAGUGUUGAACUAUCUAUCAAAUUUCGAUAACAAAACAAAUCAACCCCUAUAUUAAUCUCUCCAAAAUCCAAUAAAUUUAGAAACAAACUCUAAAUAUCACAAUCACAUCCCUCUGUUACAUAACUUAUAAUCAAUUUGAUGAACUUAUUAUUCACGUAAUUUCAUCCAAUUUUUCAAGCAUAUUUAAAGUAUUUUAUAAGUUUCAUUUCUUUCAUUACAUUUUUAGGACAAGGACAAGAACAACAACAACAAGACAGCUAAAUAAUAAAAUUAAAAGAGAAAAAAACUCAAACGUAGACACCAAUUCAUCCAACGUAUUAGAAGCUAAAAAAUGAGUUAAAACAUUAUUCCAGUAAAAGAGAGGUGGUUCAUGUAGAUGGUAAAUAUAAAUUUAGGAUACAAGUCUAGGGAUGAUGUUAAUAACUUUUUAGCCUAUUCGAAAAGAGUUUUUAAAAGCUGUCAUUGUAUUUAAAAGUAAUUAUGAAAAUGCUCAGAAAUACUUAUGCUUCUUCAAGCUCACAAUUAAUGAUUCUUCCAUAAAUGGGGUGUAGAUUAAAUGCUCAACACAAAACAUUGUUUUCAGAAUGAAAUCUUAUGUUCACCCUAAAUUUGAUGUCAUUCAUUGGCUAAUUCAAUAUAUAGAUAUAAACAGAAUUUUAAAAUAGCUAUUAGAAAAGGGAUACUAAGCUCAAACAACAAUCAAAUUAUACAAAAAUCAUACCUUUUUUUUUUUAUGGAUAUUCAUUUGGUUUUCUGAAAUUUUUACAUUUUUUUUUAAAUUUUGCUUGAUUUUUAAAAUUAUUGAUUAAAAAUAAAUAAAAGAUAAAAAUGGUUUUUACAAGCACAAUUUUAAAAAAUUGAACCGAUAUCAACUAUAAAAUUGGCAACGAUGUAUAUUUGAAAAACUUAAAACAAUAUGUGUGACAAAUAAUUUAUGUUAUAAGCAAGGAUUUAGUCAUUUUAUUGAAGAUGAAAUCACAUUUUCUUUUUAUUUUUGUUGGUAAUUGAAGAUGAUGCACAUAAAUGGGUGGAACUUACUAGUAUGGUCCAACCAUAUAUUUAAGUGUGUAGAAGGGAACAAUGUACCAUGGAGUGAGUGCUUUGAAUUAAUAAAAAAGGCCAUUAAAGUAAUUUGCAUUAGAUGUUCUUCCACUGCAUAUGGGUCUGCACAAAUAUUUAAGAUUUUUCCAAUAAAAGAUAGGUGUGCAUUUAUUUUCACCCAAGCUAUAAACUUACAUUUAUUUAAUUACUUCUAUUCUUUAAUUAAAUCAUCUAAUUUUACUAAAUUAAAACUCCAAUAUAGAUCUAAUAUUUCUUAAUAGGAAUAUUAGAGGGUAUUUCCCAUUAUAACCCUACUCAAAAUAGUAGAUUCCAUUUCUUUUGAGAAAAAACAACACCAUUUUGUUUUACUUCUACAAACCUAAGGCUAGUUAUUCAACUUGUAAUUUCAAUAGACGUGUAAUUAGUGUUUGAUUGGUGAUGAUGACAGAGGGCAGACUCCACAAAAUAAUAACCUUUAAAAGUGGUGAAAAUCUAUGCUUGUGUUGUGGUAUGAAUGUUCAUUGAAUUCGUACUUGUACCUCCAAACAUUUGGUCGAUCUCUAUCCAGAUUCAUUGAAGAAAAAAAGAAAGAAUGUGGGAGUAACCUCUAUCUAUUAAGAUGAUGUAUUUGACCCUUUCAACGUGAUAGUACAUUUGGAUAUUGUUGAUUUUUUGAGUCUCUUUAAGAGAAAAUUAAUAUUAACGAAGGAGUAACAAAUAUUUCCUUUAAUUAUGAUAGUAUUCAAAACUAAUAUUUGCGUAUCUUUUAAUGAAGAGUUACAGACAUUUUUCAUAUUUUGGCUAACUCAAGGAUAAUUAAAUAAUGAAGACUUAUGUUUAGCCGAUAGUGCAACUUAACUAUGCACACAAUAUUUAAAAGCAAAAAAUAUUUUUCUACAUUGACAAUGCUUGAAGCAAAUGUCAAUUGAAUAUCAAGUUCUACAAACUUUAUUGAAGGUUUUGGUAAAGCAAACCUAAUUUUUCCUAAAGGAACAAAAUUCACAAUUAAUAAUGUGUUUUCUCUAGUAACUAAAAAGGAAACUUAUUGAGUUUCAAAGAUAUACGUCAAAAUAGUUGUCAUGUUAAAACUAAUAAUAAAUAUAAUAUAGAAUAUCUUUAUAUUAUAUUUAUUGUUUCACAUGAAAAGCAUAUAUUGGAAAUGUCGCGACGUGAUCGCUACGCGGAGCGGCCGACCUCUCCGUUUAUUUAAUUUUAAUAAAUAGUUUUGGAGUCGCCACCAACCAUAUUAGUACAUUUGGAUAUUGUUGAUUUUUUGAGUCUCUUUAAGAGAAAAUUAAUAUUAACGAAGGAGUAACAAAAUAUUUCCUUUAAUUAUGAUAGUAUUCAAAACUAAUAUUUGCGUAUCUUUUAAUGAAGAGUUACAGACAUUUUUCAUAUUUAGAGAUUUAAGUUCGGGAGUCAGUUGUGUGUAGGGAAGGUGUUAGCACCCUACAACACCCAAAAAAUGGUUACCCAAUUUUAUCUUUUAAAUUAAAUUAUAGAGGUUCACAAAACAAAAGUUUUUAUUUAGGUUUUGUUUAAAUGUCUCAUGCUUAUCAAUUCAUAUCGAAGAAAGUAAAACCUAAGCAUGAAUUGAUGAUUAUGGGUGGCAUAGGAGCCAUUAGAAAAAUUAAGUUUAUUUUUGUUUUAAAAGAUUUUUAUUCACCUUAAGAAUAUUAAGAUACCAAAACUUGAUAUUUUAAUCUCUAUCAUAGAUGUUUAAUGAAAAAUUUCAUAUAUCUAGAAUUAAUAAAUUCAUAGAAAAUACUACUCAGUCUCAUUUAAAAUAUGAAAUGUGUUAAUUUAAAAAAAAUAAUCUAUUAAUUAAAUUUCAAACGGAAAAAUUUCAUGUAUUUAUGGAUUUUAAAUUAUAAAAUCCAUAAAAAACAAUACUUUUUCUCCAAUUUACAUUAUUAUAAAAAAAAAUAAUAACAAUGACAAAACAUUAUGAAAUUUGAAAAAUACUUAGGUGUAAUAUACUGAGAUAAGAUAAAUACAUUGAUAAUAUAUGCAAAAUGUAAAAGAUAUUAAUGUAGGAUGCAAGAUAAUUAAUUAAUACAACAUAUGCAACAUAAUUAAUUAAUUCAAAAUGAUGCAAAAUAAUUGAUUAAUGCAGGAUGCAAAAUAAUUGAUUAAUGCAUAAUUAAACGAGGCCAAAUGGAUAUCAAAUAAUAAUUAACAGUUGAAUGCUAAAGUAGGUUUGGCCCAAUAUGCAAAUAAAAUAAUAUUGCGAAUAAAUAAUCACACCAAAAUAAAUAUCAAAUAAUUAUAGCCACAUAUGCAUACUGAUUAAUUAAUACAUCAUGCAAAUAAUUAGAAUGAGGGAGUGAAAAUGUCACAUACAAGUUGCUAAUUAAUUAAUAGGCCAAAUGAAAAAUGGUUGUUGCCAAAUAUUAAUUAUAUCAUGCAUAAUUAUUAACAUGGAUAAUAUAUGGAUAACAGUAAUUAUUAACAGAGUAUGCCAUAUGGAUACAUGGAUAAAGUAAUUAACGAAAACGGUAAAAUGGAUGCCAAUGAAGAAUGAGUAUUACCAAAUACAAAAGGCUAAUUAAUUAAUUAUGCAUAAUUAUUAAGGCAUGCCAUAUGGAUAUAAGUAAUUAACUGUAAAAUGGGUGUCAAUGAAGAAUGAGUAUCCAAAUACAAAUAUAUGAUGCUAAUUAAUUAAAAAGAAAUUAACACAGAUGCCCAGUAAUAAAAGAAAAUUAACACAUAACAGAAUGCUCAAUAUUUAAAAAUUAACACAGAAUGGAUAUACAUAAUGGAUACACAGAAUGGAUAUACAUAAUGGAUACACAGAAUGGAUAUACAUAAUGGAUACACAGAAUGGAUACCCAACAAUUAAAAAGAAAUUAACACAGAACAGAAUGUUCAAUAUUUAAAAAUUAACACAGAAUGGAUAUACAUGAUGGAUACACAGAAUGGAUACCCAAUAAUUGAAAAGAAAUUAACACAUAACAGAAUGUUCAAUAUUUAAAAAUAAAAAAAAAAUAAAAAAAUUUAAUAUAGAAUGGAAGGUAGAAUGCUCAGUAUUAAGAAAGAUACAAAUAAUAAAAUUAACAUGUUAAAUGAUGGUAAAAUGAUGAACACGAUAGUUCAUCAUUAAAAGCAGUAUAUCAAACAAGAAGAAAAAAAAAAAUCAUUAAACAAGAAUAAGAAUAAAAAGAGGAAAAAGAAAAAAAAAACUUACCAGCAGGUCUGCCCUUCAAUGCCAAAGGUUAUUCCUUUUUUAUCUUCUUUCACUCUUCACCUCUUUCUAAAUCCUCCAAUCAUCAAAAAAAGAUCCCCCUUCUUUUUUCCUCUUUCCUUUUUAUAGGGCAAACUCCAUUGUUUUUUUUAGAUCACGAGAUGGAGUGCAGACUACAAAAUAGGAAGAAAGUGGGAGAGUGGGAGAAACAGAGAAAUAGGAAGAAAGUGGGAGAGUGGGAGAAAGUGAUAGAGUGGGAGAAAGUGGGAGAGUGAUGACGAAGAAAAAGGGAUGGUUGAGAAAAAAUAGGAAGGAAAUCAAACCUUUGAUUUUUAUUUUUAUUAUUUAUUUUUAAAUGUAUUUAUUAUUAUUAUUAUUGUUUUUUUUUAAAUAUAAAUUUAAGAUUCAAAUUCAAAUUCAAAUUCAAAUUCAAAUUCAAAUUUAAUUUCUUUUUCUUUUUCUUUUUUCUUUUAUAAUAAAUAAAUAUAGGACAAAAUACGGUAUCUACAGUUUGCCCCCCUUUGUCCAUCCUGUAAAUAUUUAAAGGUGGACAAAGGAAAUAGAUAAAGUAUUUGGCCGAUCUUUUUUAUUUUAGAGAGAGAAAAAAAAAAAAAAAAAAAAAAAAAAAAAAAAAAAAACAUCAACCUUAGCUCUAGGACUAGGUUUGAUAAAUGAGAAAGAACCUGAUAGACAGGCUUCAGCCUCAGCUUCAUAUCUGGGCUCGAUUUAACCAAAAUUUUUUAAUAAAAUAAAAUUAAAAAAAAAAACAACAUCAACCUUAGCUCUAGGACUAGGUUUGAUAAAUGAGAAAGGACCUGAUAGACAGGCUUCGGCCUCAGCUUCAUAUCUGGGCUCGAUUUAACCAAAUUUUUUUUAAUAAAAUAAAAUUAAAAAAAAAACAACAUUAACCUUAGCUCUAGGACUAGGUUUGAUAAAUGAGAAAGGACCUGAUAGACAGGCUUCGGCCUCAGCUUCAUAUCUGGGCUCGAUUUAACCAAUUUUUUUUAAUAAAAUAAUAAAUAAAAAAAAAAACAUCAACCUUAGCUCUAGGACUAGGUUUGAUAAAUGAGAAAGGACCUGAUAAACAGGCUUCGGCCUCAGCUUCAUAUCUGGGCUCGAUUUAACCAAAUUUGUAAAAAAAAAACACACAUCAAUCUUAGCUGUAAGACUAAAUUUGAUAAAGUGGACUCAUCCUUCUCUUAAAACUUAUUUGAAAUUUAAUUUAAAUAUUGUGCUUUUCAAAGGAAUAAAUGGCUCACUACUCCAUUUUACCAAUACCAUCAACAAUUUAUGAGCAUUGUCGUCAUAGGAUAGAAUAAGACAUAUAUCACGAGAAUUUUUUAAGCUGUCGAACUCGCCUCUCUUCGUAUCAAAACAAAUGAAUCCAACUGCGAUAGAUUGUACUAUGUUGUAAAAACAUAAUAUUGUUUUAGUUUUGGACUUCACAAAACAUGAAUCCUUUAGGAUGUAGACUUCCAAUUACAACAACUCACAAUCAUAGAGAAAUGUGUCUGGACUUGUAAACGCCUACAUUUUCUUAAGUCUUAACAAGAGGAAAUCAUGGCUUUUACUUGGUUUGCAAAUACAAUAAGUCGUACUGAAUCUUUAUUAAUUAACAAAUAGAUAGAACAAAUGGACUAAUGAAUAAUGGAUGUUUACUCUACUUUGAUGGCAUUUAAAAAGGAUGAAAGAAAGGAUUGACAAAUAAAGAAGUGUUUGAUAUAUAUGAUAAGAAAUGAAAAGAUAACAACGAUUCUUGGAAUAGGAGUACAAAGAGAGGAGAUAAGGGGAAGUUUAUACAAAUGGAAAUAACAUUCUAGGAACUAAAUGUAAGUUUCCUAGAAAUACCCCCGACUUCUUUCAACACUACGAAGUUUUCUAUGAAAAGGGCUCACGCAUAGUAUCUUCGAACAUAAUCUGAAUUCACCGGAUUUUUUAACUCAACACCAUCCAUAUUGGUUUAAAAGUAAAGCUCCUCCUGAAAAUGCCUUUUUUACCACGAACGGACCUUCAUAAUUAGGAGUCCAUUUUCCUCGAUGGUCCUUUAGAAAUGGAAGUAUCCUUUUUAACACUAAAUCUCCUUCUCGAAAACUUCGAGGGUGUACCUUUUUAUUGUAUGCUCGCAUUAGUCUUUUUUGGUAAAGUUGUCCAUGACUUAAUGCUGUCAAACGUUUUUCUUCAAUGAAAUUCAACUGCUCAUAACGACCUCUUAUCCAUUCAGCUUCAUCUAACUUAGCUUCCAUGAGAACUCUCAAUGAAGGUAUCUCAACUUCUAAAGGUAGGACAGCUUCCAUACCAUAAACCAAAGAAAAUGGUGUUGCCCCUGUUGAAGUACGAACUGAUGUGCGAUAUCCAUGCAAUGCAAACGGUAGUAUUUCAUGCCAAUCUUUGUAUGUUGUUGUCAUCUUCUCAAUAAUUCUUUUAAUAUUUUUGUUGGCUGCUUCAACUGCCCCAUUCAUCUUGGGGCGAUAUGGAGUCGAAUUUCUGUGAUUGAUCUUGAAUUUCUCACAAAGUUCGUCCAUCAUUUUGUUAUUAAGGUUCUUGGCAUUAUCUGUAAUAAUACCCUCUGGUAGACCAUAACGACAGAUCAACUCUUUUUUGAUAAACUUGAGUACCACUCCUCUUGUAACAUUGCAGUAAGAUGCCGCCUCUAUCCAUUUAGUGAAGUAAUCAAUGGCUACAAGAAUAAAACGAUGACCAUUUGAGGCUUUAGGAUCAAUGGGUCCAAUAACAUCAAUUCCCCACAAAGAAAAUGGCCAUGGUGCUGACAAGACAUGCAAUGGAGAUGCUGCUGCAUGAAUCCUAUCCAUAUAAAUUUGACACUUUUUACAUUCUCUUUGCAUAUUUUAUGCAGUCUGAUUCCAUCGUUGUCCAAUAAUAACCAGAUCUAAGUAUUUGUCUGGCCAUAGUAUGUCCGUUAGCAUGUGUUCCACAUAUUCCUUCAUGAAAUUUCUAUCAUAAUUUGUUUUGCUUCUUCCACAUCAACACACCGAAGGAGUACCAUAUCAUGGUUUCUUUUAUAAAGAACUUCACCACUUAAGAAAAAGUUCAUGGCCAACCUUCUUAUUGUGCGUUUGUCAUUCUUUGAAGCUCCAUAUGGAUAUUCUCUACACUUUAUGUAUUGCUUGAUAUCAAAAUACCAUGGCUUGUUGUCAUUUUCAAUAUUCAUGCAAUAUGCCGGCGCAUCUCUUUUCGUAAUUUGGAAUUGGAUAAAGCUCAUACUCAAGAUUAAGAUUAAACAUGACUGUCCAGGGUGGCUAAUGCAUCUGCCAUUCGAUUGUCUUCCCUAUGAACAUGGUCAAAUGAAAUUUUCUCAAAAUUUUGAGAUAAUUUUUGCAAUGUAUUGGCUAUAAGGAACCAAUUUAGCAUCUCUUGUUUCCCAUUCUUCCUUGACUUGAUGUAUUACUAGCAUUGAGUCACCCAAAACUUUCAACUUUUUAACACUCAUGUCGAUUGCUGCUUGAAGUCCCAUAAUACAAGCUUCAUAUUCAGCGAUAUUGUGAGUUGCAUUCAAAACAUAACUUAGCUGUUAGGGGAAAUACCUUUCCUUUUGGGGAAAUUAGUACAACUCCAAUCCCAUGUCCCAACUCAUUUGAGGCACCAUCAAAAAGCAUAAUCCAAGUCUCAUGAUCCGUAGCAUCAUUUUCAACUAAAAAUAUGUUUUCAUCAGGAAAAUCAACGCUCAUUGGCUCGUAAUCUGCUACUGGUUGGGCAGCUAAAUGAUCAGCAAGCGCACUUCCCUUUUAUUGCUUUUUUAGUAACAUAAACAAUAUCAUACUCUGACAACAAAACUUGCCACUUUGCAAUUCUACCAGAUAAUGACGGUUUCUCAAAAAUGUAUUUUAUUGGAUCCAUUUUUGAAAUAAGCCAUGUCGUAUGAUAUAACAUAUAUUGCCUCAAACGGUGAGCGGUCCAUACCAAAGCACAACAAGUUCGCUCUAACAUUGAGUAUUUCGACUCAUAAUCGGUGAAUUUUUUGCUUAAAUAAUAAAUAGCAUGCUCUUUCUUUCCUGAUAAGUCAUGUUGUCCUAGAACACCACCCAUAGAACCUUCUAAAACCGUCAAGUAUAGGAUUAACGGCCGUCCUGGAGCUGGAGGUAUCAAUACAGGUGGGCUUUGUAGAUAUUGCUUAAUUUUGUUGAAAGCUUCUUCACAAUCCUCAUUCCAUUUUCCUGGAUUAUUUUUACGUAAAAGCUUGAAGAUUGGUUCGCAAGUUGGGGUCAAAUGUGAGAUAAAUCUGGAUAUGUAAUUCAGUCUUCCAAGAAAGGCUCGAACUUCUUUUUCCGUUUCAGGGGAUGGCAUGUCCAUGAUAGCCUUCACUUUAUCUGGGUCUACUUUGAUCCCUUCUUCACUGACAAUGAAUCCCAACAGUUUUCCCGAGGUUGCCCCAAAUGUACAUUUGGAUGGAUUUAAUUUCAAUUGAUACUUUCUCAACCGAUCGAAUAAUUUUUGAAGUAUAGUUGUAUGAUCUUCAUUUGCCUUUGGAUUUUGCAAUCAUAUCAUCAACAUACACCUCUAUUUCCUUAUGCAUCAUAUCAUGAAAAAGUGUAACCAUUGCUCGCUGAUAUGUUGCCCCGGCAUUUUUUCAAACCAAAAGGCAUUACUUUGUAGCAAAAUGUUCCCCAAAAGGGUAAUGAAUGUUGUUUUUUCUCUAUCUUCUUCAGCCAUUUUGAUUUGAUUAUAUCCCCUGAGAAACCAUCCAUGAAGGAGAAAGUUGGAAUAUCCUGCAGUGUUAUCCACCAACAUGUCGAUGUGAGGUAAAGGGAAGUUAUCUUUUGGACUAGCUCGAUUUAAAUCUCUAUAGUCCACACACAUUCUCACUUUUCCGUCUUUUUUAGGUACUGGAACAAUAUUUGCCACCCAUUCAGGAUAUUUGGAGACUAUGAGGAAUCCUGCUUCAAUUUGUUUUUGUACUUCCUCUUUCAUUUUAAUCAAUAUAUCAGGCUUCAUUUUACGUAGCUUUUGUCUUACUGGAUUGCAUUCUGGCUUCAAAGGAACACGAUGUACUACAAUAUCCGUAUUUAACCCCGGCAUAUCCUGAUAACUCCAAGCAAAAAUAUCUGAGUACUCACGUAACAAAUUGAUUAUUUUUUUUCGAGUUUCACUGGUCAUUGAUGUGCCAAUUUUUACCUCUUUUGAUUCCUCCUGAGAACCCAAAUUGAUUACUUCAACUAGCUCUUGGUGAGGACCUAAGACCUUAUCUUCUUCUUCUACUAAUCUUAACAGUUCUGAGGAUAUUCUCCCAGCAUUUUCAUCGUCACUCUCUUUGUCAGAUUCCAUAGUGUAUAUUAAGGUAUCAAGGGUAGAACUGGAAUUACUAACAUCUUCGUUCUUAUGAAUGUUGUCUAUGAAAAAGUUUGGACUUUUGUGUUUAAUUUGCAAGAUGCAAGAAAGAAAGCAGAGAGAAGAAGAAAUUAGAAAGAAUGAAAGGAAAAUGCGAAAAUUUCAUUAAAUAACAAGAAAGAGGAAAAAAAAAAGUACAUUCCAUUUUGUAAAGCAAACAAAAUACUGUGGCCUUAAGUAGAACCAACUAGAAAAUUAAAACAAAUAAAAGUUUAAUCAUUACUCUUGAAAAUCUCCAGAAAAUGUAGGUAGGUCUACAACAUCCCAAUUGUUAAGCUCAAAAUUAGGUGGACAUGCAUAAACUGUUUCAUCUUCAAAUGAUGCUUCUUGUGCCACUGCUGCAAUUGAUAAACUCUCCAUCUUUGUUAACAAACAAUGUUUUGAAUCAGAGUCACGUGAUGAGUAACUUAUACCAGCACUCUUGAAAGUAUCAUAUAAUGCUGGUAUAAAUUUUAGACUUGGAUCAAACACCAUCAUCCCUUGCUUUUCCAAACACCUUUUCUUCUUUUCUUUUUGAAGCCUAAUUUUAUCAUAUACGUUUGGCAUAUAACCCAAACCAAAUCUCCCUUCAUUGCUUGGUGUAUUUAGAAGUGUUUCCAAGCUUUGAUUCAAACCAUAUCCUCCACUUCUCAUCAUCCUUUUUGUCGUAACUUUAGGCAUGUGUGACUUUAUUACUUCACCUGCAGUUGCUUCCAUCAUAGUUGCAUGAGCAAUUUCAAAAGAGCGAAAAGAACACUCUAAAGCUUCUUCUGUUGCCUCCACAUAUGGGGUUGAUAUCGGUUUUGUUAUCAGAAAAUCUUCCUCUCCCAUUAAACAAAUCAUCUUACUCCCAACAAUAAAUUUCAAUUUUUGAUGCAAUGUAGAUGGCACCACUCCUGCAGAGUGAAUCCAAGGACGACCUAACAAAAAGCUGUAAGUAGGUGUUAUCUCCAUUACUUGAAAGACUAUAUUGAAAGUACAUGGGCCAAUUUUGAUUGGUAAUUCAAUGUCACCAAUUACUUCUCUUCGUGAUCCAUCAAAAGCUCUCACUACCAUAGUACUUGAUUUGAUGUAUGACAUGUCCACUGGGAGCUUUAAUAGUGUAGAUUUAGGCAUUAUAUUAAGAGCUGAACCGUUAUCCACUAAAACUCUUGCUAUAACAUAAUCCUUGUACUUCACUUGAAUAUGCAGUGCUUUUAUAUGGCCUAAACCUUCAGGGGGAAUUUCAUCAUCCGUGAAGACUAUAGAAUUUGAAGACGUAAUGCUUCCAAUAAUUCCGCUGAACUUUUCCACUGAAAUGUCAUGUCCAACAUGUGCCUUAUUCAAAAUAUCUAAUAGCACUUUGCGAUGAGGCUCUGAAUUUAAAAACAAAGAUAAUAAAGAAAGAGCUGGAGUAUUAUGCAUUUGCUCUAUGAUCUUAUACUCACUUUGUUUUACUAUUUUCAAGAAUUCGUUUGCUGCCUCAUCUGUAACAGGUUUUUUGCAUUCUAUAUCUUUUGCUUGACAGACAUCUCUACAUCCUGCUCUUUGUCAUGUUCAUUCACAUUUCUUUUCUCACUUUUCCUCCCUUGCCCCAAUGUUAAACUACUUGAAGGAGCUGUUAAAUUAUCUGGUUAUAACAUCUUCCACUUCGAGUUAUCCCGCUGAUUCCUGUAAUAUUAUCAACUGAAGGACCUGUAAUGACUUGGCAAUCAUACCGCCAUGGCACCGCUUUCAAAUCCUUAAAUUUGAAAGGACUCGUACUUCGACAAUGAGUUGUUUAGGAUUGCAAGAACUUGAUUUAUUACGAUUUUCUUGAUAAAAGACUGUCAAAGGCCUUGGUAAAAAGGAUUUUCCUUUUUUGCAACUUCACCCAUUAAUGUACAUAUUUUAUUGUCUUUCAUCUCAUCUUUUCCUGUCCUUCGUAUACUGUGAGUAUCUUCGAAUCCAUAAAUUGUUGUACUUUAGAUCUAAAUGUACAACAUCGUUGGAUAGGAUGGCCUGCAACUCCUUGAUGGAAUAUACAACGUUUGCCUUCAUCGUAUCCUUCGUAUCUUAUAUUGGGGUCUAAAUACUCCAAACUAACAUAUCCUGCUUCAAAAAGACCUUCAAAAAGUGUUUCCAUAGGCAUCCUUAUCUCAUGAACUUCAUUUUUACACUUUCCAACAAAACAAUCUAUCGCAUUCACUUUUGAAUUUCAUGAUUAGGAAGUGGAUUGUUGUUGACAUCGGCGGCUCUACCAGCUUUUUGACUCAACAUCCAGCAUUAAUUAAAGAUUGCACCUUCCUUUUCAAAGCUAAACAAUUUUCAGUUGAGUGUCCCACUCCUCCGGCAUGAUAAUCACAUCGAGCAUUUGGAUCAUACCAUUUUGGAUAAGGAGGUUGUAUAGGAUUUAUUGGGAUAGGAGCUAACUGUCGAUUAUGAACUAGCUGAGGUAAAAGCUCUGUAUAUGUCAUAGGAAUUGGGUCAAAUCGAAAUGUUUCUGAGUUGGUCUUGCUACCCUGACCUUGUACAAACGGUCGAGAAAAGUUUGAAUUUACAAGUUUUGGGGCUCCAGAGGGAGAGUGGGUUGGUACAUAGUUGUUAUAAGGGAUAUGAGUAACAUUGCUUAUAUAUGAAGGAAAACUUUGGUCAUGUUUUCUUUGGCCAAAAGUUGAUUUGUGGUUCCCUAAAUUAGGAAAACCAAUUGCAUGAACCUCACCUUCUUUCUUCUUAGGUGUUGCUCCUUUCUUUAAUCCACCAUACUCAGCUGAAGUCUCUAUUAACCUCCCAUGUUUUAUCCCAUAUUCAAUUCUUUCACCAAUAACAAUAAUGUCAGAAAAAUUGGUUGUAGCAUUACCAAUCAUUCGAUCAUAGAACGGCGCCCGCAAAGUAUUCAUAAACAUAAAUGUCAUUUCUUUGUCUGUUAAUGGUGGUUGAACCUCUGCGGCUAUAUCUCUCCAUCGUUGAGCAUAUUCUUUAAAGCUUUCUGAACUUUUCUUCUCCAUCCGUUGUAAGUCUAAACGAUCUGGAGCCAUAUCAAUAUUAUGUUUGUAUUGCUUUAGAAAUGCAUCAGCUAAAUCCUUCCAAACAUGAAUGUGUGCAUUAUCUAAUUGAAUAUACCAUCGAGUAGCUGGACCAGUCAAACUGUCCUGAAAGCAAUGGAUCAACAAUUUAUCAUUACCAAUAUGCGCUGCCAUCUUUCUACAAUACAUUAUAAGAUGACUCCUUGGACACGAUGAUCCAUCAUAUUUGUCAAAUUCGGGAACUUUAAACUUUGUUGGAAUGAUCAAACCCGGUACUAAACACAACUGUGUUGCAUCUAUAUUUCCAUAAACAUCAGUCCCUUCAAUUGCUCGCAAUCUUUCUUCCAAAACAUCUAGUUUUUGCUUAGCCGGAGUGUUUUCAUUUUGCCCCAUGUCUUGAAUUUUAGCCUGAGCUUCCAAUUGUUCUAUAUCUGGGACAGGAGGUGGAACAUCAAAAAGUGGAUUCAUAGCAACAUAUGUUGAGCAGUUUGAGACUGUGUAGCGUUCAUGUGGCGUGGCGUAAAUCCUGGGGAUAAAUGGGAUCAUCGGUGUCUUGAACCGGAUUACUUGAUUGUGCUGUUUCUACGACGACUUUUCCUUUUCCUGCUGAAAGCAAUUCCAGUAUUUUUGAAACUUGUUCCCCAAGAUUAUUAAUAUCUUGUCUCAUUUUAUCCAUGUCUUUAUCUUGUUCUUCCAUGAUUCGACUUCUAUACCGUGUAUUGUAAGUAUGGAGAAUUGGAGUAGGACGAGCUAUGUUUUUCUUUGAUUAUUAUGAGAACUUUGAAGACCAAAGAGUAAAAGGAAAGAAAAAAAAAAUAAUAAAUAAAUAAUAAAUUCAAAUACAAUAAAUCAACACAAAAUAUAAACUUGGCAAAAAAAAAAAAAUGAUAAUAACAAUAAUAAUGAAAUGCAAUAACAACAACUUUGUUCAUAAUAGCAAAAUAAACAGCUUAAUAAAAACGACCAAAAUGUCCAAGUUCUCUGCAUAUCAUCUUUAAGAAUCUAUUAAGAUCAUCUGAAUGUGGUCGUAUUGAGAAAAAAUUAAUCCUUAAAUCAGCUGCCCAUUCCGCAAAACCAUUUGCUCUUCUAGACACUAUUCUGAGAAAUCCAAUUGUUUGAUCUACACGUUCAACUAACGUUUGAAAAUCUCUCCUUUGCAAGUCAUAAUCAACCUUCAUUUGCAUGUAAUCUGUCUUCAAUAAUUUGUAUUCUUGCACUAUUCUCUCACUUGAAUUUUGAAAUGCAGUAAGCUGAUGGUGUAAGGAAUCAGCAUAAUUUUUCAGUAUCUUAUAAUCUUCAGAGUGCUCGACCAUCUUCACAUGUAGGCUAUCGACAGUUUGGCGUAGAGAACAAUUGUGUACUUCCAAAUCUACUAUUUGUGCUUCCCGUUUACCAAUUGACGAUUUCAAAUCAUUGACAAGCUCGAGAUAAUAUUCCUUCAUUUUCUAAGUCUUUAAUAUAUUCAUCUUGUGAUUCUACUGUUGCCUGUAAUAUUGUCUUUUCAUUUUUCAAACUUCUAUUCGACUUAUUCAUUCGCCUCAUCUCUUCAUCUAACACCUCAAGAUUCUUUUCUAAUUUAUCUUGGUUUUUUAAGAAACUCUUGGUCUUUUCAAGCUCUUCUGCAAAAAAGUCGCAUGAUCUAUCCAUUGGCUCGUCUCUUUUUGAAGUUUCUCAUUCUCUUGCUCUAACAGUCGAUUUUUCUCCUCUAAUUUAGUGAUCUUCUCAACCCACUGGUCUGGUUGUUCAGAGCUUGGCUCCUCUACCCUUUCAACUACCUCCCUUAAGGUAUAUNNNNNNNNNNUAUGUGAAAAUAACAACAAUAAAGAAAUAUGAAGAACGAGUGUCUCAUUCAAUUGGAUCCUACAAAAUGAUCUACUUCAAACCAAUAGUCAAAGAUAAUGUUGUAUACUUUGUUGUUAUUGAAUGCAAGAUUAGUCAAAUAAGAGUAUAUGAAAAAUGGAAAACUUUUUCAUUAUUAUUGUUUUCGAUGGAGAUCAAACAAUUGACUUUAAGAAAAAAUGCCACGUUUAUUCAACAUUAUCUUUAGAUGUUUAUUUAAGAUAAUGGAUUAUAAGAUACAAAUUUAAACUAGAAAUUGAGAUUCAUGCUUGGUUUGAGUAUGUUAUUUAAAUUUUUUUGAUAUGUACACCUUACCGAGAAUUGACAUUUGAAGUACCAACUUCAAGUUAGAGUGAGUUAUUAUAAUUCCCUCAUAUUUGGGAUCUUCAAUUGUAAUAAGUAAUUUUUCAAGUUAUUAUAACAUUUUAAUAUUACAAUUUCAAAUUCCUCUUUAUUAGAGAUAUUUAUUAUUUGUUAUAAUGUUUACUAUUUCUUAAUCAUUCUCUGUUUGCAUCUUCAUCAUAGCCUAAAAUAAUUUUCUGUUUGCAUCUUCAUCAUAGCCUAAAAUAAUUUUUACCCGUGUUAAAAUUAGUUUACUCCCCAUGUAUAAUAAUCAGUGCCUUAAACAUGCUGAAGAUAAUAAACAUGUAGUUUCUUUUCUUUAGAAUGUGGUUGCUGGAGAAUCUGAAACAAAGAAUUAAAUAAAAACAAAGUUAUAUUUUAUGUUUAUGGUAAAAGAUUCAUAAAUUGCAUUCAAAUUUAAGCAAUUGGAAACUUGUUGUAGUUGCUAAAUAUUAGUUGACAAUGAAACAUUGCAUGUUAAAAAACUUGUAUAAUUAUUAUUUUGUAGUAUUAUAUAAUUUAUAGGAGCAAAUUAAAAGAAAAAAACAAAUGGUUUGAAAAAGAGUUAGAAUUUUGAUAGUGCGGUUUAUAAUGCGGUUUAUAAUUUAAAUUUAAUCUCUAUGGAUCAAUAAAAACUUCAUGAGUGUUAAAUAAUCCAUGAGCUUUUUAGAGGAUCUUAAUAAACUAUAAGAAUUAGAUAUGAAAAUAUGUCCAAUCAUAAGAGCUAAAUUCUAACUUUUACAGUAUUCUAACUUUUAAACUAUAAAGGCUAACUUUUGCCCAAAUUAUAGGGACGAAAUCAUAAUUUAACCUAAUACACAAGUAUUUGGUAAGACAUAUUUACAUUGUGCUCCUCUAAAUGCUUUUAUCUCUAUUUAAUACAAUUGUGCAUUUUAAAUAUGAAAUAAGGGAUACAAUAAAAAAAAAUUAGUUUUGGAAUUUAUUAAAAUCUUCGAAAGAGUGUUAUUCCAGUAGAGGACUAUUAUUGAGGCGUCUUAAACGGAAGGACUUGUUUUUUUAUCCAUAAUCCUUAAGACUAUUAAAAGAUCGUAGGCACACGGAAUCAAACUCCUCCGAACGGAGCACAAAUAGACAUAGGAGUCCUCUGUAAGGAAGCUUUGCGAGUGUAUAUAAUAGACAAAGAAAAUAUCCUUCUACGGCACAAUGCUUUGCGACUGAAUAUGAGCACUAAGAAGAGAGAAAAAGGAAAAACAACUCAUAUAAGUGGAAUAAGAUAGUCCUUGGAACAUGAGACCUACGGCCAGGAAACAACUAUCCAAAAAUAUCUCUAGACAGGGAUACAUCAUUCUAUAUUUUUAUCAACAUUUUCCCAAACAUCAACCUAUGUUAUAAACUAGAUGGUAAUAUAGUUUGCAUUCAAAGACAGAAUAUAAUAACCAACAAUUAAUUAUAAUCCAGUGAGUAUAAUAAUCUGAAAACGCGUAUUUUUGUUUUAUAUGUGUGUGUGUGUGUGUAAAAAGUUGUAUUAGAAGUGAAAGCGUGAAGGGAGGAAAAAGAGAAAGAAAAGAAGAAAAAAAACAAACACUUUGGGUGCUGUGGUUGACAAAGACUGGGUGAAGGGGGGGGGCAUUUAAGUAAAUUGACCAACACACCAUACGUGCGGAUGGGCCCCACGCGUAAGACCCAUCCGAUACAUUACUAACUUUUUUUUGGUUUUAAUUAUUAUUUGUCAUACAAAAAUACACACGGAGAUAAUAGCUUGGGGAACAAGUAGGUUACCUUCAUCAUCUGGAAAGCAUCGCCCAAAUUCCAUUUCCAUUUCCCAUCUUCAUCAUUAUCCUCACUCCCCCUUUUUCCCUUUUUCCCUUUUUCUCUUUUACUUCCAAAAUCACAAUAUCAUAUUUUAUACUCCAUUAUAAUUUUACGGACAUAAAUUUAAGGUAACUGUUCUCUCUUUUUAGAAAUUAUGUUUAAUUUCUUUUCAUUUAUAAAUAUUCUUGAGUCAAUUUUUAAAAAUUAUAACUCUUUUUUCGUGCUAAAUUUUUAAGACAUUGGAAUUCAAUAUAUAGCAAAACAAUACAAAUUUAGAAUCAUUGUAAAACAAGCAUCAUUCUCAACAACUAAAAACCAAAAGUCAAAUACUCAUCAAAUAUCUUAGCAAUUAAUCUUUUGUUUUUGACCUUUCAAAAUUAAGCAUUUAACUUCUCUCAAUCCUUCACAAUACCUGGUUUUCUUUUUUCUUUUUUUCUUUUUACUUUAGAAAUUCCUAAUCAAAUUUUAAAUAAAAAAUAAAAUUUUAUUGGAAAUUUAGUUAAGAAUUGGACUCUUUACUUAAAAAAAAAAACAAAAAACAAAAGAGACAAAACAUUGUUAAGAUGUAGAUAAUAAAGCAAAAAAACUAGAGAUAGAAGUGGUAAUUGUAGACCUAAUCUUAAGAAACAAAAGCAAAAAAACUUUUUUUUAAAAAAAUAAAUAAAAUAACAAACAAAGAAACAAAUGUUUACAAAAUCCAACCUUAAUCUUCAAACUUAGACAUUUUAAACUCGUAGAUCUACCAGACACAAAAAUCAAAAGUCUUUUAAAAUUUAUAAUGAAUAGAACAGUUUAUUUUAAUAUGUUAGGAACUUUUUAUAUUUUAGGGACUGAAUAAAAAUAAAGAUUAGAAAGCAAUGACCAAAUAUGUAAUUUAAGGUAAAAAAGAAAAAAAAACAAAAGAAACUUCGUGGCUAAGAAAGAAAACGAAAGAAACACAAAACACCACGUACGAUCUCCUUGGAUGUGACUCUCAAGAUGGCCUGAAUUCCCCACCACUCCCUCAACACUCUUCACGUCAUCAAUCUUUUGGAUAUUUUCCCAAACCUUCAUAUUGCCUUUUUCGCUUCCUUCUUCAUCAUAGAUAUAGAUGCCUAUAAAACCCCUUCUCUUUAAUCUCCAUUCCCCUUUUGCUUAUCUUCUCUUCUAAAACUCUUAUUUACCCAAAAAACAAAACUCCCAAACCAAAGGCAAAACCAUUGUUUUUCUUCGUUUCAAUCAGUGAGAGGAGUUUGAAGAAAGCGCAUGACGUCUGAGAAUUCUAGUGGGUUAGUUUUUUUUCCUUUCUUCUCCGUCCAAACUUUUGAUUUUCUAUUUCUGAUUUUCUCCAUCUGGUUUUUUUUCAAUGAUUUGUUCUUAUAAGUUCUCUUAUGUUGUUUGAUUUUAGAGGAAAAACAUCAAGAAAGAGGCGAAAUGGGUAUGUUUCAGUAGUGGACACUCUAAACAAGUGGAAGAAGUUGAAUAAUCAAUUGGAGGAUUUGGCUAAAGAUGGAGGAGUAGAGGAAACUCGUAAAGUUCCAGCUAAGGGCUCCAAGAAAGGUUGCAUGAGAGGGAAAGGAGGACCUCAGAAUUCAGAUUGCAAUUUUAGAGGUGUUAGACAGAGGACAUGGGGAAAAUGGGUAGCUGAAAUUAGAGAGCCAAUUGCAAGUAAUAAUAAUACCCGUUUGAAGAAGAAAGGCACUCGUUUAUGGCUUGGCACUUUCUCCACUGCUCACCAGGCAGCUCAUGCUUAUGAUGAAGCUGCCAAAGCCAUGUAUGGCCCGUUCGCUCGUCUUAAUUUUCCUGAUUCUUCUUCUCCUCUUAUGAAACCAUUAACGUCAGAGCAUUCUGAUACGAUAUCUCCUGUUGCUUCUUCCUCCUCUUCUUCUUCGUUCUUUAAUGGAGUACCUGCAGAGAAAAUGAAGGACUGUUAUUCAAUGGAAAAGCAAGAGAAUUGUGAGUAUGAAUCAAUGGAGGAACUGAAGGUGAAAGUGGAAGAAACAGAAAGAAGUAGAGUCAAUUAUACAGAUAUUAAACCCAAUUCAUUUUAUGAUUCUAACAUUGGGAACAGAUCAGAAGGAAAUAUGAAGGAAGGAUUAGCUGAUGUUCUAAGAAGCCAUGAUCAGAAUAGCCCUUCUGAGCUUUGUUUUAAAUUUGAAACUAUGAAUACAAAGGGCUGCAAUGACUUGAAUGGAUGCAAUCAGUAUGUGCUACAGAAGCUUCAGAGUGAUCCAUAUGCAAGAACUUACUGGAUUCCAGCCGGGUGGGAGAUCGGCGAUCUCGGGUCUGCGACGGUGAUGGAAGCAAAGCCAAUGGAGAUUGAGAGCUACGGAGACUGUAUGGCCUUCAACCGUGAUCUGGGUUUGUUGCUGGAUCGGCAAAAACACAUGGGAGUUGGUGACCAGAGAGUUGAUGAUUGCAACAACUUUGAGUUUUUGAGACCUGAUUAUGAUUUUGGGUUGGAGGAGGAACGAAAGUGGCUUGAUUUAUGCUUCCAUGGAUGAAGAUUGAAAGUUUAGGCAGGGUAGUUUUUUUUUUUUUUUUGGUUACAAUUAUAUUCUCUUUUGAGCGUACAUACUAGUUUCAUUUUCUUCUCCUUUUUGUAGACCCCUGUUCUUUUGUGCACCUUCAAUAACAUGAGAUAUUAGAAUGAAGUAUCAAUGUUCAUUUGUUUCUUGAUUACAUUUACAACUUUGAAUUCGUUCCUUCAAGUACAUAAUUAACGAAUAAUAAAACAAUUACCCUCUCCAUGUUAAUUUUAAUGAUUGAGACUAAGAAGAAAACCUCAUUCGGUGGAUAUUGCGGCGAACUGUCUGACAUGAUCGGGAACUGUUGCAUUGAUGAGGGGAGCUCUGGUUAACAGAUUAAAAGCUGUCAUAUCAGUAAAGAGUCAGAGUUGGUGGAGCUUUCAAAAAGCUAGGGAACAUAUCCAAAUCCUCGUGGUAUUCAACCCCUUUAAGUGAUGAGCUUUACGAAGUUCAAGAAGCCUUUUAGUCAGUCACUUUUUCCGUCGACCUCAUUGAAAACCAACUCCCAUGGCCCACUCUUCGUGCCUAAUCUGGGAUCAAUGAAAUAGAGACAUAUAGGAAAGAAGUUAACCACUAGGGAAUUUCAAAUGUUCAGUACUACCGAAACCAAGGAAAUUUUCUUGAUGAAUAUGUGGAUUAUUGUGGCAAUGGGUAUGAAAUGAACUCGGCUUAAUGAUGAAUUAUUGCCUGGAGAUAUUGAAUGUUACUAGUUAGGUAGGCCUACUAAUUAGGUGAUGCCUAAUUCAGUUGGCUAUUGGAAUGAAAGUGACGUUUUCUAUAUCAAGUGUGUUCUCACUAAUAUCUCAACAAGCAACACAUCCGAUUAGCAAAUGUUUAAUGACGAAAAAUUUUAACAAAAUCAGAUGAUACCUCCAGACUCCAGCUACUAAACGCAACAUCAUGAACAGAAACAAUCCACUCCAAACCCCAGGGAGACCGAAUGUGGGAGUGACCACGAGCAGGUAAAUAGAAGAAACCAAUCCAACAAGCACCUGCUCUCUUCCGAUCCAAAUUAAUAAUAUAUCUUUUAAAAACGAACCAAAAAAGAAAGAAAAAGGAAGCUCAAAUUAUUCAUUGCAAGAUGAAUAUGGGAAUAUACCAUGGAGUAUGCUGCAUAUCCGAAGUCCGAAACUCCAUAGUAGAGCCCAUCUACAACGAAGGCCAGUGCAUUUACUGGUUGCGAUCCAGCAACAAACUACAAAAAUAUGACUAGGAUUAUAUUAGGUCUAACGAUCAAAAUAACCUUGUCUGUCAUGCAGGGGACAUAAAUAGAUCUCCUUAGGAAAGCAACUAGCAAAAUUCAAUUCCCCCAAAAUUCAGGAUGGAUACCAAAUUUGCUCCAACUCUUCAGCAAUAGGGCAUCGUCCACGUACCAAACAAGUACAUAUUGCAUAAAAAAUGAAUUCUCAUGCAGGGAAUCAGAGGGAUUCUAGGUAGCCCGAACAAAUAUGUUACAUGAAGAAAUUUGAUCCAAAAUAUAAGAAAUUUAAAAGUCAUGCACAGAUAAUCCAUCUACUGUUAAGCAGUCACCAGAAAGGUACAAAGCCAAAAGUAAAUUAUCCAAAUAACAUAUUCUUACCAACAACCCAGAUCGUGCAGUUUCUAGGACUUCUGCAUCGGCACUGAAUAAACCAGAAAAUGCGCCAAAUCCCAGGAAUAAGAUAAUCGCCAAAGAAAUUCCUGAGAUCAAACCAAUCUGUAACAAAGAGGUAUCCGGAUUCAGUUGUGGUUGCUUUUUUCAUCAGAAACAAUACAUGAGAGUUGAGACCGAGGUAACAAAAGAUCUUUUGACCAAAAAAAAGAAAAAAAAAAGCUAAGAGAUGGUAUGAUGACGUUGGAAUCAUUACUGACCUGCAAAGUUCUAUAAAUCACUUGACGCGAAUGUUCAUAGUCUUGUAAGGUGAAGCUGCCUGCCAAUAAGGCCUGCAAAACAAGAACAUGAUAUAUAUACUCACCAGGACCAGUAAAACAACAAAUAUUCUUUCAACUCUCUGUAACAUGAAGAUGAAAUUUAGCAGUGUACCCAGUUAAGAAAAUAGUACAACAGCAAACAAAAUUUUACAUGGAAUUAAUAGACAUAAAAUGUUCUUUUUUUCUUAGGAAUGUAUACAAGUACCAUUCAACAACAAAUAUUCUGCUUCUAACGCCCAUUUCACCACCAAGGGCAAAUGACAACAAAAUCUUCACCACCCAAGACAAAAAUAAAUCAUCCGGGUGACCAUUUAUCUACAUUACUUAAAUAACUUCGAAGUUUCACAGCAUCAAAUAUUAUUCGUCUUCGCAGAUCAAUCGGUGAUCCUACGAUAAGCUUGAACGCUGAUACUUCAAAAAUGCUAAUUAUUACAAAUUACUUAUCUUGCUCUUAAAUAAUUCUAACACGAACACAUAGAGACCAUUGGCAGAAUUCAAAACCAAGAAACUAUCACGGGUUUGUUUUGUGAUCAGUGAGGCAAACCUUGACGUAACUGAACGCUUAGUAUAAAUAGCAACAAAACCAAAAAAAGAGUUAAAGGCUUCGCUGAAUAAUGAAUAUAAGUUAAUUUAUGAGGAAAUCUCUGUACCUGACCAGCCAACGCUAAAGCAUCAGUAAGCAAAGAUAUAGCCAUCCAUAUUUGUACACAAAUUUGAUAACCGGCCAUGGGUACAGGACCCUCUCUAGCCGCCAUGGAUGUGGCUAGAGUCAGGGUUACAAGGACAGCCAAUGUCCGGGCCAUCAAGAGACCACCUGAGACAAAAGGCAGAAUUAGAAAUAAAUGGGAAAUUUUAAGUUUAAACAAACAUUUAUAAAGAAAAAACAACACUGAAGAAUUUCGGAGACGUGAACCAUUUGGAUCUCAAUCUUUAAAAACGAAAGAAUUACGAAAUUACACAUUCCCUCGAACUCAUUUGGGAACAAGUAAGGAAAGAGGCACGAUGAACAAGUAAUUGGUGGAUGGCAACUGACUUCCUGUGAUAAGAUUCUUUUCCUUCUAUCUUCCGUCCAAAUAAAUAGCGAAGUCACAAUCUAUAGAAAAUAUGUUCUCCUACAGAAUGUUAAUACAAUAAAAAAAAAUGCCCAUAUCUGUUUUGGUAUACUGACAAAGGAUCAAUGGUCCAUAUAGCAAAGACGUGGCUGAUCCAUUAAACAAACCGUGGGUACAAUAGUUAAGCCAGUUCAUUUCCAGCAAUAUUGAUAUGAGCAGAACAUCUAGGAAACAG
rnacentral:lncRNA from 1 species